rnacentral:rRNA from 1 species
GAUGAACGCUAGCGGCAGGCUUAACACAUGCAAGUCGAGGGGUAACAGGGGUUUAGUUUACUAGAUUGCUGACGACCGGCGCACGGGUGAGUAACGCGUAUACAAUUUACCUUUUACAGGAGGAUAGCCCAGAGAAAUUUGGAUUAAUACUCCAUAGUAUUAUUUGGUCACCUGAUCGAGUAAUUAAAGUUCCGGCGGUAAAAGAUGAGUAUGCGUCCUAUUAGCUAGAUGGUAAGGUAACGGCUUACCAUGGCGACGAUAGGUAGGGGUCCUGAGAGGGAGAUCCCCACACUGGUACUGAGACACGGACCAGACUCCUACGGGAGGCAGCAGUGAGGAAUAUUGGUCAAUGGAGGCAACUCUGAACCAGCCAUGCCGCGUGCAGGAAGACUGCCCUAUGGGUUGUAAACUGCUUUUAUACAGGAAGAAACCUAUCCACGUGUGGAUAGCUGACGGUACUGUAAGAAUAAGGACCGGCUAACUCCGUG